ACACGCGGCCUAAUGGACGCCCUCCUCGAGAUCCCACGGCUGCGCGGAGAACCGAACGGAGGGAGGGAGUUUGGGGAGGGGGAAGAGCAGGAGGAGGAGAAAAGGGAGGGGGAAGACUACAAACUAGCAAGGAUGGGGUGGGGGGUGGGGAGGGAAGGGAAGGGGGGGGAAGAGAAGCGAUCGCGAGAGAAAAAAAUGCAACCUCCCAAAAUAAAGAGCAAAGAUUGCAUUAGGAGCGAACAGCGCUGCAGAAAUAGAUGGCAGCUUCGUGUCAUUGACUGAAACAAAACAAAACAAAAGGGCCACUGGAUGUCUGCCUUCUUGGGGGGUGAGCCAGACAGACUGACAAACAAACAGCCCCAACUGUGUUCGGGGGAGGGUUUCGCCUCCCGUUUUGCCCGGCAGCAGCAGCAUGGACGUGUUGGCUAGUUAUAGUAUAUUCCAGGAGCUACAACUUGUCCACGACACCGGCUACUUCUCAGCUUUACCAUCCCUGGAGGAGACCUGGCAGCAGACAUGCCUUGAAUUGGAACGCUACCUACAGACGGAGCCCCGGAGGAUCUCAGAGACCUUUGGUGAGAAGCCUUAUAAGUGCUCAUGGGAGGGAUGUGAGUGGCGUUUUGCACGAAGCGAUGAGCUCACGAGGCACUACAGGAAACACACAGGUGCAAAGCCCUUCAAAUGCAACCACUGCGACAGGUGUUUUUCCAGGUCUGACCAUCUUGCCCUCCACAUGAAGAGACAUAUCUAAAAAACCGAAAGGCCAGAGUUGCCAUGGCAUCGGCUAGUGUCUAAAGGAAACGCCAUGAGGCAGGGGGCUGGACUUCAGGCGGGGACCCAUUGCCUCGCAGAAGAAAGUUCUCACUUAUAAACCUCUGUACACACACACACACACACACACAUAUACACACACUCACAGACCCACACACAUACACACUGUCAUGCACUCAACUAUAUUUAAAAUAUAUACGUCUAUUCUUUAUGCCUUGCCCUAGCCAGAUGGAAGAAGAUGAAGAAGGAAACCAGGUGAACUCAGCAAGGCAGACUGGCUGCUUACUUCAGCACUAUUGGAAUUAUUUCCCGCUGUUGCCAAUGGAAAUCAAAGAAAAUGGAUGUGACGUCUGUGCAGGUGGACGGCAGUCCGAGGGGCUUAUUUCACUUGCUUCUCAGUGCAACUUGAUAGGAGAAUCCAGCAUCUUAAAGUUGCAUAUGUGUAGCACUAAUGUUUCUUUUUAAAUAGUUGGGGGAAAAUGACCUAGAAAACCAAAUUGCAGUUUGGUAGCCAAAAUUAACUCUUGGUUUAUUUGUCCUUUGUGUGUGAAAAGUCCUACUAUUCCGUGCGUCAGACUUCCUCACAGAACUGUUGACUGGUUUUGGUUCUUAGUACUAUUGAGAUCUUUCGCGUCGAUCCCAACGGCCUUAGCGGCGGCAGACUGGAAUAACACCUUACACCUUUCUGGCCUGCAUUUCUGUAGACUUCACUCUCAAGGGAGGAGUUUUCUUUUCUUACGUUUUGACUUUUGCACACCAUAUGCACUAGGGAUUCUGGAAACUUCUAGCAUGACUGCAAAGUGGCCAAGAGAAUAAAGUCCUUGAUGAUAAAUCACAGUAUAUCCCUUGAGCCUCACCUUAUUGCCAGUGCUAGAUUUUUUCUUUUUAAUCUCUCCGUUUUUGCUAACGAAAACUUGAAAAGCUUAUUUGGAAGCUUAAAUGUUUUAUCUUUUCUCCAUGGACUAAACCUCUCCAGGACUCUCUCGGCACCUGGAUGUCCAGCUCUCGAAGCAGCCAGUCAGAUGGGACAUCACAGUUCUCUCAUCCUCCUUGAGGCAUGAUGACCUCAGCUCAUAGUGAUCAACCGUUGUGCUGUGUGUCAUUGCUACCCCAUAACCAGUUACAGCAUAGAUGUCGCUAGUCUCAGAGGGCAGCUGCGUAUUUAAUUUAACUCUGGUUUAUGACCUGACAAAAAGCCAAAAAUAUCACUCUUUCCAGGAGUGGGGAAAACUGAGGAUGCCUCCCAAGUCUAGUGGCUUCACAAAAGAUCAUCCUGUCUUCUCUGUCAUGCCCACUGAGCUCCUAUUCCCCUACGUGUUACAAUACACAAUUUAAAACGCCAUUGUGGGAGUGAAGGGUUGACAUUUAAGGAAAAGGUUGAGGUGUUUCUCUCAUGGGCUGUCUAAAAGGAGAGACACGUUUCUUUCUUUCCUUUUUUUUUUGGCUAGGCCCACCAUGACUUGUGACCUAGAACCCCCAGGAUUAACAGAGGCCUCACAUUUACUCUGCAAGCUGACUCCAAAGGAGUCUACAGUCCUUACUUGUCAUGCCACACUCACACAUCCAGUAGUGGUCUCUAUCUACCCGCAUUCCUAGCUAGCUGGCACUGGCCUCAACUCCAAAGACUGCCUUUAGGACCAUCAAAUGGCCUAUGCAAGCAAGCGGGGUGGUUAUUAGGACAGAUUGUAUAUUUUGUAUAUUCUGGGACCAUCCCUUCAAGACACGUCUAUAAAACAAAAAUGGCGCUUGGUCCACACACGGUUGCUGCUCCCUCCUACCAGCUGGCUCCCCUCCUGUCCUCCUUUGACUGUUUGACUCAUUGACUGUUAAAAUGCCACCCCAUACAUAUUUGGGAUGCAAAACUGAAGUCAAAAGGAAAUAAUAUAAGAAACACAAACACAUAUAUGACAGCAACCUUCAAGAUCUGGGUUUUCAGCUUUCUGCAACCUUUGUUUUCACUGAAAUGUUGAAACUACUCGUCUGAGGGCAAAGGAACCUCCUCACAAAUGCUAUAGCUGCCAAUUGGACACUUGGGGCAUUUCGAGGUCUGGCCCUAAGAAUUUACUUUCUCCUUUUCCUUUUUUCUAUUUAGACCAAAAAAAACAAAAACAAAAACAAAAAAAAAAACAAAAUAAUACAAAACGAAAAAAAAAGAAAGAACACCCGUUAACACACACGCGCACACACACACAAAAUCUGUCCAUUUGCCGGAGGCAAUUGUAUGUAUGUUAGUUGGAGGGUAUUAAAAAUCAGUUUUAUUCCAAAGAUUUAAAACUAGACAUGACUUAAAAACAAUUUCUGGAGCACUGCUUGCUGACAAUCUCGUAGUUCUCUGCUGCAUUUGAGUGCAUUUUGUGGCCAGUCCAUCAGGGCGUACCAUGGGAUUAUAUUUGAAUGUGUGGUGCAUCCUUCCUGGAUGAAGGAUGUGUGAGGGACCUUGAACCUCAGCUGUAUUAAACUGUAGCGCCUCCAGUCAGUGCACUAGAUGAAACUUUUAGACACCCUGAAUUCUGUUGGUUCCUUUCUUUUCCUUUAUGUAGCAGCCUCCAGCAUGAAUGCACGCACACGCCAGUGAUGGCAUUAAGCCAUGGCCACCACGAUUUGCAAAUGUUCUCUCCCAAGCUGGAGCUGCUCUUGCCUCUCGAAUGCUAUUAUUAAGGGUUUAUAAUACUUAAUUUAAUUUUCGAACUGACCAAUGCAAGGCUCUAUUAAAAAGAAAGUUUAAAAAAUGCAAAAGAGUAAUCAUUGCUUGUUUGCUCCCUAUUUUCAUCUGUGGUCUCAUUUGAAUGUGGCAGAACAAAGGCCCUUUGGUCCUCAUCAGUGUCUGAAAUGUUCAGUAAUUUCUCUCUCUUUUGUAUCAGUGAGGUCCUUUGUAAUCUGCUCCUGACCUUUCUUGGAGCAGGGUGCAUUGAAACUCAAUGGUGGUGCUUGCUUGCUUCAGAGUCAUUUGUUGACUGUGAGAAUUGGCCUAAGAAUUUGGUGGGUGCUAAGUGGAUGGCUUUGAAACUGUUCUUCUUUAGCCGAGUUGACACCUGUGAAUGAUGACCAGUCCUGAUCAUUUUGGAAAUGGAUUUGUAAUAAAACGUCCAUCACCUCUGCAGUGGCAGAGAUGGUUACUAAGAGCCGCUAGAGCGAGCAGGUUUUCCAAGAAGUAACCUGAAGACAUUUUGCUCCCAAGAGGACUGGUUAUUUAAAACAGUGCAUUAAUGGACAUUUGAAACACAUUAAACCCCUUUCUCAUUUCAGUUGUUACCUCCUAACCCUCCAGGGGAUCCCAAAUUUGAAAGGAAAAACCCGGCCUGGUGUUUCUGGUGGUGUCCUAACAAGCACGCUUUUAUCCAGGGUUCAGAUUUGUUCAUGUAGAAAAAGAGUUUCUAAGCCACUGACAAUUUUUUUUUUUUGUAAUUUCAAAUUAUACUUCUUUCUCCUGCCACAUGACUGUAAGUCAUAGACAUGGAAACCUGAAAUUAUAAUGCUGCUCCUAGCUACUGGCCUCCUGCCCCACCCAUGGUUAAUGGCUCAGCUCAAUGCCUGGUGGUAAUGAGUAUUAUGUCCAGAAAAAGAGAUGUUCAGAUUCCAUGACAAAGCUGCAUUUUUGUAAAAAUAUUGGAGACCCCAAAAUGAACUUCAUGCUGACCAUUUCCUCCUCUCUGUGUGCUUUCCCUUGCAAAGCCCUUCAAAUAUCCUCUUCUCUCGACGCCAUCUCCUCUCCACCUGCACCUCUUGUGCCCUUUGUACAUCUUUGAUUGCCUGAUGAUAACAGGGUAAAAGGACAGCCAACCUCAUGCCUGAUUAGCAGAACUGAAUCCUAGUUUUAAAAAAUCUUCUCUGGCUUCAGAGAAGAUUUUAUAAGGACUUUUGUUUGGGAUAAGCUUUCCAGAUUAUCCAUGUCUAUUUGCAUCAAAGGGGAAAGAAAUGGGGCUUUUGGAUGGCUCUUCCAGUGCAUUCGGAACAUUGCCUCUUGCCUUUAUUCCUGCAUUUUAUGGCAAAGCCAAAAGAAACUCAAGUUGCAAGAACAAAACCCAGUGACUCGUUUUGAUGGUUCAAAAUGGUUUCCUUUAUGGAAGUCACUUCAUAAAAUGUUAAGUAAAAAGUGGGAAGUGCUUCUGUCUUCUCUUUUGCAUGAGUUGCUUUUAGGAGCAGGAAGAAGGUAGGCAAAGUAAGAUAAAGAUGCAACACAUUUAACUACAAAAAUCAGGUUCAUUUUUUAGUUUAUUAGAAUUUUUUUGAAAUCUUAAGAGGGCCAGCAUUUCUGGCUACAAUUUUGCACCCAGAACAUUGCCAAAAUGAACAUUCAGUAAAUAGAACCUGAUUGAAAUUUACUCCUGGAAGCUUUCCUUUGCAUUUUCGGGAAGUGGCCACCUGCCAAGCGCAAGAGUUGGGGGGCAGGAGGGGAGGACUCAAAUUCAGGGUGUCUGGAUUAAAUUUCGGUGAACAUGGUGAUAUCUCAGUUUGAAAACUAGAGGGCCUAUCCUGAGUAUACAUCAAUGUCUCUUUGAUGGCCUACUUUCCUCAGUGAGGAUCUUUGGGAAUACUUGAGAUGGAACAACAGAAAUGUGUGAAAGGAAGCAGAAACUUCUUGUAAAUAACGUGACCUCCCACGACGAACUGCCUGAGGCUUCAGGGUUUUUUCUUGCUUUUAACACUCUUAAAUCUCCUCUGUUGGUUCCUAAUAGAUCCCAGAAAAGGGAAAAAUAAAGCUGCAGUUAACUUUCUUAUGUGCAUCCUUCCAAUAGAGUACUGUAUUUUUCAGGUGUUUUGCAUUUAACAUAAAAGUCCUCGGGAAACAGGUGUCAAAAACAGAGAGAGAAAUCCUGGGCCAUCACUUCACAAAUAUCCCAAACAAGAUAUUCUUUUCAAACAGGGCUCCCUCUCAGUGGUCAUGAGGGAAGGUUGAUAAUGUUCUUUGUUGGGGACUGUUUAUACAAUUUUUUUUCAACUGUGAGCUUUGGAAUCGUAACUUGCUGUGAGUCCAGCUUCUGUCUACUGCCAUAAGAUGGACCCCACGUCAGCAUAAUGAGGGUGGUAUAUAUGCUCGCACCUAGACAUGCGCAUAUGUACCUGUCGUACCUUCACGGAAGGAAAACAGGCUACUGACGUUUCGGAGGAGUAGCCACCAGUGCCUAAUAUCUUUUGGGGGGGAUGGAUGCUUAUAAUUGCCAGUAUAUCGAAACCACACUGGGAGUUCCACAUAGCGGGGAGGGGUUGGGGGUGGGCAGAGGGGACAUUUUAAACCUAGGCCUUUGGACUGGAGGCAGAACGAUUUCUGCAAACCUAGGUCCUGAAGGCUUUGGGGCUUAUUGGCUGGUUCUCAACCUUUUUGUUUUUUCUUCCCAGCAUGCAUUUCCUAUCUAAACCCAGACUUAGUUUAAUUUCCUUAUCUUUCACUUCUGCUUCAUUCCAGGGAGGAAAAAUACACCUGUUAAUGGCCAAGAUCUCCUUGCUAACACAGAGGCAAAAAUAAAUGUCUAAUGUUUUUGAAGCCUCCCCUUCCUUUCCACAAGCCCCCACCCGCCCCCGCGUCAAGCUCCUUCUCCCACUUCCUACUCCCACACAACUUCCCAGCCACUGAAACUUUUCUUUCAAAUCUCUAUUAUCCUCUUAACAGUUGCUUGAAUAAAUUUAUUUUUGCACUAUACAUUUUCUUUUUGCCAGAUGUGUCUAACAAGUGUGUUUGGAGAGACCUACUCCCAGCCCCGUCUCCUUCCCCGCCUCCCCCCGUCACAUUCUCUCAGGCCUUCUCUGGUAUUUAUAAUAUAUCACAGAAGUACCCAGUCUUAUAGCCCUCGGUUAUGCCUUUUUUUGACAUUUUAUUUUUUUUAAGCUUUUUAUAUAUAUAUAUAUAUAAAUAUAUUACUUUGUCAAGUUUUUUUGCUGUACAAAAGUCUUAAGAUUUAAAACUAUUAUUUGUAUUAUAUGAUGGUGGUAUGUUAAUGUUACAAAAUUAUUAAUGAAGAAAAAAUUUAUUUUUGUUACUGGUCUGUUUCAUAAUUCUUUUUUAAAUUGGUAUAUUGUAAGAUAUCUAUGCAAAAAAUGUUAUGUGACGCAUUUUUAUUUAAGAAUGUAAUAUGUGUAAUAAACAGUAGAAUGUGUUUGGCCUUGGAAUACUUUACUGUAUUUCUCCUUAGCUUGUUUCACUGGGGAAAAAAAUCUUCGAAAGACGCAAGUGGGUACUUACAUACUUCGUGAAAGUUUUCUUUCUUGGAGAAAGGGAAAGCAAAAGGUUGUAUUAGGUUAUCUUCGUUUGGGAAGUUGUGUGUGUGUGUGCGUAUGUGUGUAUUUUAUAGUUUCAUUGAGGCAGCUCAAUGCCCAAAUAAGGGUCACUGAGUUUAUUUCUUCAAGGGGAAAAAGGGAGCCAAUUGUUGGAGAUUAUGAAAAGCAAUAUUUUAGAAUGAUAGAGAUUACAAGAUGUUAUUUGUUUAGGGGGUUGGGAGAGGCUUAUUGAAAGCGGUUUAUUUGGCGAGAGAAGGAGGCAGUUUGUUCUGGGAUGGUGUUUAAUAGGAACCUAUUGGGAAAGGAUCUUUGAAGCAGUCUGUGAAGGAGGAAGGGUAAAGAUCAGAGGGAAUAAUUUAGGUGAGGGGUAGGGGGCAGUAAAAUGACAGGAGGUGGUUGGAGUGGGGAGGAAAUGGGUAACCGGAAGCCAGGAAAUCCAGCUGGCUGUGGAGAGUACAAAAAACUAGAUGGAAAUACAAGCAGCUUCAGACCCAGAGAAGAGAGGGAGAUGAAAGCCCCAGGGAAAAUUCUCAGAACUGAAAAGAAAAGUACUAAAAUCUCUGCCACACACGACUUCCAGGAAAGAGCAUCACCAGUAAGGAGGAAGGUAGAGAACCCAGCUGGUGGUGUCGCCUCAGCAUCCCGAGCUCAGCGAUUCCCCGAGAGAAGUGGUGUCAUUCACAGGAAACAGCAGUAAAACACAUUUGUCACAUGGGACACAGCAGUAGUCAAGCUUUCUUUGCAUUCUUUGGACUUACAGAAGUGGAUACGGUGGUGAAUAACCUCUAUCCCUAAUCAAAUGAAUCUGACAAGAAACUUUCCAAUAAAUGUUUACUUUAGAA
rnacentral:lncRNA from 1 species